rnacentral:rRNA from 1 species
CCUACGGGAGGCAGCAGUGAGGAAUAUUGGUCAAUGGGCGCGAGCCUGAACCAGCCAAGUAGCGUGAAGGAUGACUGCCCUACGGGUUGUAAACUUCUUUUAUAAAGGAAUAAAGUGAGGUACGUGUGCCUGUUUGCAUGUACUUUAUGAAUAAGGAUCGGCUAACUCCGUGCCAGCAGCCGCGGUAAUACGGAGGAUCCGAGCGUUAUCCGGAUUUAUUGGGUUUAAAGGGAGCGUAGACGGGAUGUUAAGUCAGUUGUGAAAGUUUGCGGCUCAACCGUAGAAUUGCAAUGGAUACUGGACGCCUGGAGUACAGGUGAGGUAGGCGGAAUUCGUGGUGUAGCGGUGAAAUGCGUAGAUAUGACGAAGAACUCCGAUUGCGAAGGCAGCUUACUGGACUGCCACUGACGUUGAUGCUCGAAAGUGUGGGUAUCAAACAGGAUUAGAUACCCGGGUAGUC